GUGGGGGAUAUUGCACAAUGGGCGAAAGCCUGAUGCAGUGACGCCGCGUGAGGGAAGACGGUCUUCGGAUUGUAAACCUCUGUCUUCGGGGACGAUAAUGACGGUACCCGAGGAGGAAGCUCCGGCUAACUACGUGCCAGCAGCCGCGGUAAUACGUAGGGAGCGAGCGUUGUCCGGAAUUACUGGGUGUAAAGGGAGCGUAGGCGGGAGCGCAAGUUGAAUGUUAAAUCUGUCGGCUUAACCGGCAGUCGCGUUCAAAACUGCGUUUCUUGAGUGAAGUAGAGGUUGGCGGAAUUCCUAGUGUAGCGGUGAAAUGCGUAGAUAUUAGGAGGAACACCAGUGGCGAAGGCGGCUCACUGGCUCGGUACUGACGCUGAGGUGCGAAAGCGUGGGGAGCAAACAGGAUUAGAUACCCCGGUAGUCC
rnacentral:rRNA from 1 species